rnacentral:lncRNA from 1 species
GGCGCCCCCGUUGAAUCCCUCCUAGCCCCCUUUUAUAGCCUUCCCGACCUAUCAAGUGGAGAAUACGAUCUUCCGCAUGAGAGGAUUAGGGCGGAGGAAUGGCCUCUGUGAACGGAAGGAAAGGAUGGCACACGGGAUGCUUGAUUCGUGGAGAGGGUUGAUCGCGGAAGAUGGGGCACUAAUCUGCUCUGUGAACGUGGACGGAUGAACCGCAUGCUGAAGAAACUGAUGCGGAGGGCAUGGACGCUGAUCUCGGCUGGGAGAUUGCGGACGGAUGAAGCCGCGGACGCUGGAGGGGGCUGAUCGCUGGCUCACGGAUGGCUGCAGGCGGGAUGGAAUGCGUGAGAUAUGUGGGAGAAGAAGAUCGGACGCCGUGGAUUCGGGGUUCCGGAAGAUCGCGGAUGCCAUGAGCCAGCAUCCCGGGAGGCUCGCAGGAGGAUGCUUUGCGGGACAUUCGGAGAAGACGGACGCGAUGGGCUUGGGAUUUGGAUGACGCACUGGGAUGUGGUAGGUGAAGAUCACGGUUGGACGCUUGGAGGAAGCUGGGAUGCACGAGAUGCUGGGAGACUUCAC